rnacentral:rRNA from 1 species
CUAGACAGCCAUAUCACCUUGAAUGUGCCUGAUCUCCUCUAACAUCAGAAACUAAGCAGGAUCAGGCCUGGUAAGUAUUUGGA